ACCACCCUGUCUUAUUCAAUUACAGGGAGGGGUGGGGGAGGGGGUGUAUGAGUAUAAUGCGACAGAAAUUCACAUGGACACACUUCCACAGCUCAGCUGGUCCUCAGGCUGCCUAUGCCAUCAUAUAUUUCAGUGGAGCAUCAGUGACAACUCGGGACUCUGUGAAGUGUAAUUUUCAUGAGAAGGACCAGUGUGCUAAAGAAGACUGGGGGAAUGACUAGGCCCUAACACUAUCCUCCUCCAAAAAUAGCCUGCUGUGGUAUUCCAAAGCACCACCUGCCAGACUGGCGAGUGUUGGGGACAGUUAUGUAAGUGUUAAUCCACCAACCCAAGCAACAGGAUCCAGUGGGGAGUGGCGACACAACACUGCAAACUGAAUGACGGGGAAACCUCAUGUCCAGAUAAAUCAUGUGUGUGACCAUUGUAUACAACACAACACACACACACACACACACACACACACACAAACACACUUGUACAUAUUCUAUUCAU